rnacentral:lncRNA from 13 species
CAAGACUCUAGGCAAGGAGAAGACUCUACACAAGGACAGGACUCGACAGGUAGGUAAUCGACACAACUAGAAGACUCUUCACAAGGACAGGACUCGACAUAAGGAGAGGACUCGAGAGGUAGGUAAUCGACACAAGAAGACUCGUCACAAGGACAGGAAUCGACACAAGGAGAGGACUCGACAGGUAGGUAAUCGACACAAGGAGAUGACUCGACGCGAGUGGACUCGAAAGGUAGGUAAUUCACACAAGACUCGUCGCAAGGAGAGGACUUUACGCAAGGAGAAGACUCUACGCAAGGAGAAGACUUGACAGGUAGGUAAUCGACACAAGAAGAAGAAUCGUCGCAAGACUCUAGGCAAGGAGAAGACUCUACACAAGGACAGGACUCGACAGGUAGGUAAUCGACACAAGAAGAAGACUCUUCACAAGGACAGGACUCGACAUAAGGAGAGGACUCGACAGGUAGGUAAUCGACACAAGAAGAAGACUCGUCACAAGGACAGGAAUCGACACAAGGAGAGGACUCGACAGGUAGGUAAUCGACACAAGAAGAAGACUCUUCACAAGGACAGGACUCGACAUAAGGAGAGGACUCGACAGGUAGGUAAUCGACACAAGAAGAAGACUCGUCACAAGGACAGGAAUCGACACAAGGAGAGGACUCGACAGGUAGGUCAUCGACACAAGGAAAAGACUACACAAGGAGAUGACUCAAUGCAAGUAGAAGACUCUUCGCAAGGACAGGACUUGACACAAGGAGAAGACUCGUCGCAAGGACAGGACUCGUCACAAGGAGAGGAUUCGACCGGUAGGUAAU